CCUCGGGGGCGCCACCUCCCAACCCUUUGAUUUGAUCAAGACCUCUUUAUGCCUCGGGGGCGACCCGGCCUUCGGGCCGCGCGGUCCCCCCGGCGGCGCCCAACCAACCCUGCAUCAAUUGUCGUCUGAUUUUGCAAGUAAAUUCAAUCAAAACUUUCAACAACGGAUCUCUUGGUUCUCGCAUCGAUGAAGAACGCAGCGAAAUGCGAUAAGUAAUGUGAAUUGCAGAAUUCAGUGAAUCAUCGAAUCUUUGAACGCACAUUGCGCCCUUUGGCAUUCCGAAGGGCAUGCCUGUUCGAGCGUCAUUACACCAUUCACGCCUGGCGUGGUAUUGGGCGACGGGGCGAGUCACAUCGCCCCGCGCCUCGAUGAUCUUUCCGGCGGGACGGACCGUAUCUCAGCGUUGUGCAAACGAGUCGCUGGCGAUGUGCGGGACGGCCGUGCCGUUAAACCCCCAUUUUCUCAUGGUUGACCUCGGAUCAGGUAGGGAUACCCGCUGAACUUAAGCAUAUCAAUAAGCGGAGGAA
rnacentral:rRNA from 1 species